rnacentral:rRNA from 1 species
CUGGUGGCGAGUGGCGAACGGGUGAGUAAUAUAUCGGAACGUGCCCUGGAGUGGGGGAUAACUAGUCGAAAGACUAGCUAAUACCGCGUACGAUCUACGGAUGAAAGUGGGGGAUCGCAAGACCUCAUGCUCGUGGAGCGGCCGAUAUCUGAUUAGCUAGUUGGUAGGGUAAAAGCCUACCAAGGCAUCGAUCAGUAGCUGGUCUGAGAGGACGACCAGCCACACUGGGACUGAGACACGGCCCAGACUCCUACGGGAGGCAGCAGUGGGGAAUUUUGGACAAUGGGGGCAACCCUGAUCCAGCAAUGCCGCGUGAGUGAAGAAGGCCUUCGGGUUGUAAAGCUCUUUUGUCAGGGAAGAAACGGUCCGGGCUAAUAUCCUGGGCUAAUGACGGUACCUGAAGAAUAAGCACCGGCUAACUACGUGCCAGCAGCCGCGGUAAUACGUAGGGUGCAAGCGUUAAUCGGAAUUACUGGGCGUAAAGCGUGCGCAGGCGGUUGUGCAAGACAGAUGUGAAAUCCCCGGGCUUAACCUGGGAAUUGCAUUUGUGACUGCACGGCUAGAGUGUGUCAGAGGGGGGUAGAAUUCCACGUGUAGCAGUGAAAUGCGUAGAGAUGUGGAGGAAUACCGAUGGCGAAGGCAGCCCCCUGGGAUAACACUGACGCUCAUGCACGAAAGCGUGGGGAGCAAACAGGAUUAGAUANCCUGGUAGUCCACGCCCUAAACGAUGUCAACUAGUUGUCGGGUCUUAAUUGACUUGGUAACGCAGCUAACGCGUGAAGU